CUCACAGGCAUCUGCGGGGGUGGAAAGUUCCGGCGGUAUGGGAUGAACCCGCGGCCUAUCAGCUUGUUGGUGGGGUAAUGGCCUACCAAGGCGACGACGGGUAGCCGGCCUGAGAGGGUGACCGGCCACACUGGGACUGAGACACGGCCCAGACUCCUACGGGAGGCAGCGUGGGGAAUAUUGCACAAUGGGCGCAAGCCUGAUGCAGCGACGCCGCGUGAGGGAUGACGGCCUUCGGGUUGUAAACCUCUUUCGCCAGGGACGAAGCGCAAGUGACGGUACCUGGAUAAGAAGCACCGGCUAACUACGUGCCAGCAGCCGCGGUAAUACGUAGGGUGCGAGCGUUGUCCGGAAUUAUUGGGCGUAAAGAGCUCGUAGGCGGGUU
rnacentral:rRNA from 1 species